UUCCACAGCCAGGAGAGUACAUUAGGUGCCGGGACGAGGUGCAGGGUACAGGACUCCAGGGCACGGGCACAUCAGGGAUCAGCUUCUUCCUCAUAGACUGAGUUCAGGUGUUCUGGGCUCAUGGCAAGAGCUGGAGACGCCUGUGAGAGCUGGACCUCUCCGUGAGGUUGGUGGCACUGUACCUGGGGGUAGGGGGACUGUGUACUAUGCCUUGCCUGGAGGCGAUUUCCUAGAUAACUCUGCACCAUACUUGGGGACAGUUUUUGGUUGGUGGUGGGGUUCAGAGGUAGCUGUGGAGAUGCAUAUUAUCAUGGAAGACUA
rnacentral:lncRNA from 1 species